GACGAACGCUGGCGGCGUGCCUAAUACAUGCAAGUUGAGCGCUGAAGGUUGGUACUUGUACCAACUGGAUGAGCAGCGAACGGGUGAGUAACGCGUGGGGAAUCUGCCUUUGAGCGGGGGACAACAUUUGGAAACGAAUGCUAAUACCGCAUAAAAACUUUAAACACAAGUUUUAAGUUUGAAAGAUGCAAUUGCAUCACUCAAAGAUGAUCCCGCGUUGUAUUAGCUAGUUGGUGAGGUAAAGGCUCACCAAGGCGAUGAUACAUAGCCGACCUGAGAGGGUGAUCGGCCACAUUGGGACUGAGACACGGCCCAAACUCCUACGGGAGGCAGCAGUAGGGAAUCUUCGGCAAUGGACGAAAGUCUGACCGAGCAACGCCGCGUGAGUGAAGAAGGUUUUCGGAUCGUAAAACUCUGUUGGUAGAGAAGAACGUUGGUGAGAGUGGAAAGCGCAUCAAGUGACGGUAACUACCCAGAAAGGGACGGCUAACUACGUG
rnacentral:rRNA from 1 species